GGGGGGGGGGGGGGGGGGGGGGGGGGGGGGGGGGGCGGGGGGGGGGGCGAGGAGGGUGCGCCUCGGGCGGUGGCGGCGGGCGGGGGAGUAACACAUGGAUAACCUACCUAUAAGACUGGGAUAACUUCGGGAAACCGGAGCUAAUACCGGAUAAUAUCUUGAACCGCAUGGUUCAAUAGUGAAAGACGGUUUUGCUGUCACUUAUCGAUGGAUCCGCGCCGCAUUAGCUAGUUGGUAAGGUAACGGCUUACCAAGGCAACGAUGCGUAGCCGACCUGAGAGGGUGAUCGGCCACACUGGAACUGAGACACGGUCCAGACUCCUACGGGAGGCAGCAGUAGGGAAUCUUCCGCAAUGGGCGAAAGCUUGACGGAGCAACGCCGCGUGAGUGAUGAAGGUCUUCGGAUCGUAAAACUCUGUUAUUAGGGAAGAACAAAUGUGUAAGUAACUAUGCACGUCUUGACGGUACCUAAUCAGAAAGCCACGGCUAACUACGUG
rnacentral:rRNA from 1 species